rnacentral:rRNA from 1 species
GAGUUUGAUCAUGGCUCAGAUUGAACGCUGGCGGCAUGCCUAACACAUGCAAGUCGAACGAGGGUAGCAAUACCUUAGUGGCGGACGGGUGAGGAAUACGUAGGAAUUUGCCCUUAAGUGGGGGAUAGCCCGGGGAAACCCGGAUUAAUACCGCAUGAUCUCGAAAGAGCAAAGUGGGGGAUCGCAAGACCUCACGCUUUUGGAGAAGCCUACGUCGGAUUAGCUAGCUGGUGAGGUAAUGGCUCACCAAGGCGACGAUCUGUAACUGGUCUGAGAGGAUGAUCAGUCACACCGGAACUGAGACACGGUCCGGACUCCUACGGGAGGCAGCAGUGGGGAAUAUUGGACAAUGGGCGAAAGCCUGAUCCAGCAAUGCCGCGUGUGUGAAGAAGGCCUCCGGGUUGUAAAGCACUUUAAGUUGGGAGAAAAAACUCGCUCUAACACAGUGAGUCUUGACGGUACCGACAGAAUAAGCACCGGCUAACUCUGUGCCAGCAGCCGCGGUAAUACG